CGAACGCUUGCGGCGUGCUUAACACAUGCAAGUCGAACGAGAAAGGGGACUUCGGUUCCUGAGUAAAGUGGCGCACGGGUGAGUAACGCGUAGAUAAUCUACCCUUGUGUACGGGACAACAUCGGGAAACUGGUGCUAAUACCGAAUACGUUUCUAAUAUAGCGAUAUAUUUGAAAGAAAGAUGGCCUCUCCUUGGAAGCUAUCGCACGAGGAUGAGUCUGCGUACCAUUAGCUAGUUGGUGGGGUAAUGGCCCACCAAGGCGACGAUGGUUAGCGGGUCUGAGAGGAUGAUCCGCCACACUGGCACUGGAACACGGGCCAGACUCCUACGGGAGGCAGCAGUGAGGAAUUUUGCACAAUGGGGGAAACCCUGAUGCAGCGACGCCGCGUGAGUGAUGAAGGCCUUAGGGUCGUAAAACUCUGUCAAUAGGGAAGAAAUGUGUAAUGGUUAAUACCCAUUACAUUUGACGGUACCUAUAAAGGAAGCACCGGCUAAAUCC
rnacentral:rRNA from 1 species